UCUGGCUGACGGGCGGCCGCUGAUCCGAAGCGCCUGUGGCGCAACGGGUUGGAGGAAAGUCCGGUCUCCACAGGGCGGCGUGCCGGCUAACGGCCGGGGGGGUUCGCUCAAAGCGGACUCUACGGCAAGUGCCACAGAAAAAAUACCGCCUGGAUCGUCCCGACCCAGGUAAGGGUGAAAAGGUGCGGUAAGAGCGCACCGCGGCCGGAGCAAUCCGGCUGGCAGGGUAAACCCCACGCGGAGCAAGACCAAAUAGGGGAACAGGAGCGGCCCGCUCCGUUACGAUUCCCGGGUAGGUUGCUGGAGCGCGCCAGCAAUGGCGCGCCGAGAGGAAUGGCCGCCCCCUGCGCAAGCAGGGACAGAAACCGGCUUAUAGUCAGCCAGAUCCG
rnacentral:RNase_P_RNA from 1 species